UACGAAGGGGGCUAGCGUUGCUCGGAAUCACUGGGCGUAAAGGGCGCGUAGGCGGCGUUUUAAGUCGGGGGUGAAAGCCUGUGGCUCAACCACAGAAGGGCCUUCGAUACUGGGACGCUUGAGUAUGGUAGAGGUUGGUGGAACUGCGAGUGUAGAGGUGAAAUUCGUAGAUAUUCGCAAGAACACCGGUGGCGAAGGCGGCCAACUGGACCAUUACUGACGCUGAGGCGCGAAAGCGUGGGGAGCAAACAGG
rnacentral:rRNA from 1 species